AGCUCAGUUGGUAGAGCAUGGUGUUUGCAAUGCCAGGGUUGUGAGUUCGAUUCCCAC
rnacentral:tRNA from 1 species